UUCCCUUCCUUUGCAAAUUGUGAAUUUUUCUAUUUUUGCUCCCACUCCCCUAUUUUUACGUCUCCCAGCCUAGUAAACCCUAGGUAUUUAUAUUAAUUUUUCACCUUUUUCCUUGUUUCAUUUACUUCUCUUGUCGUCCCUCCCAUAUGCCUUUUCCUUUCUCUAAAAUUUUUUUUUUCUUCAACGAUUACACCAUAGUUGUACUCCACCCUUGCUUAAGCUUUUGCAAUUAGUUUUCCAGCCACCUUGCUGGUUAUUUAACCUCCUAGACCAGCCCAUUUUCUUCCCUAAAACUCACCUCUAUGUCACCCCGUCCAACCUCUCUCUUUUGUCCAUUGCUUCCCCUUUUCUCUGUUCAUAGUGUUAUCAUUUUCCUUCGCUUUUGCUCUCCCUUGUGAACCAAAAUUUUGCUACUAUUUUAACAGCCAAGAAACCAUUGUUCCAGCCUUAAAAAUAAUUUUUUUCUUUCCAAAGAUCCAUCCUCCUGUCGCCCAAGUCAACCCUUUUUCUAUCAUCACUUGUGGUGUUGCCGCCCCUUGGAACACCAUUGUUUUGGUUGUCGUUUUAUUUUCAAUUGCCGUCCCUUACAGAAGUGAGUUUCCCAAUUUCUUCUCUAUUUAGAUCCAAUCUCAAUUUUCUUAAUUGAUGGGGAAUCCAAGUUCGUUUAUCUGACAAAUCAGAUCUAGUUAUCGGGUAGUGUUAAGUGCAGAUCUAUGCGAGAUCUUACAUUGUCUCGAUUUCAUUAGUGGUUGUUGCUUUGGUCGAUUACUCUAAGGCCUUAAAUUUAAUAUUAGAUAUUAGAAUUAUUUAUGUUUUAGGUUCUGAUUUGAACAUCCCAGAUCAACAGUGAAGUUGGAGUUCGUUUGCUCCCUUGUUUCACAUCAAAUCAGUGUAAGUUACUUAACCGAAUUGGAUCUGAAAAUUAAUUAGUGUAACACUGAUUUGGUUGAACCCUUAGGGGGUGUUUCAAGGCUAUUUUAGUAGUAUUUUAACAUGUUAGAUGUUUUAAUUUGGUUUUAGGUAUGUUUAAGGCAUUAGUGCGGAUACACAGACUCUUAUGGCUUAGUGUUGAUUAGUACGUAACAAGGUGUGGGUCCUAACCUUAUUUAAUCGGUUGUUAAAUUCUUAUUAUAAAUUGAAUUGUUUUAUAAAAUUCUUUCUGGCUGGGCAUAGUUUAAUGGCCUAUUAGGCGUAUUAAAAUUUUUUUAACAAUGUAUGUGACUUUAAAACUACUGAUUGAAUGGUUAAGCCUUUACCGAGAUUGUUUGUAUGCGUAACUAUAAUACUUGAUUGGUUGAUUGAUUGCCAAAUUUAUGGAUUGAUGUAUGUUGAAUGUGACAUUCUUUGAAUUGAGGUUAUAUUGAGUUCAUUGAAUAUGGGAUGCAUGUGUAAUGUUUGACUUACAAUGCCACUGUUCAAACUGCGUACUAGGCAUGACUAGAUUGUAUUGUAGUUACAUACCAAUGAAACUGUUGAAUUGAUUGACUGAUUGAGUAAAAAUCUAAACUGAGCAUGUAAUAAGAGCAUAAUUAAAUGCUAAUAUUAUUGUUAAAUGAAGACUAUGCAAAGUGUACACCGACACUGAUUAUUGAUAUGCAUGUUAAGCAUGCCAUUUUACCAUAACUAAUAUUGAAAGCAUAAACUGCUCAUUGAUUGUAUGCCAUAUUGAAUUUUCAUGGGGUGCGUAAUUGUGGUUGACAGAGGAGUUUCGUGUAGUACUGACGGUAGUUAAAGUCAGCAUUAUUGUUGUCUGUGCAUUACACCGGAAGUAUCGAGGAGAUUGGAUAUUUUAUCGCAUUAUUGGAGGCUUUUAUUUGCAACCAUGUUGUGUAUUCACAACCUACUGAUAGUGUAUUAACCUAAAAAUUGCUAUUGGUGGUUAAUCCCCAAAAUUAUUGGCAGCUCGUCUGCAUAUUUAUUGGCAGUUUAACUACACUAUUGUACUGAUGGUUUAUCCACAUCGAGCUUCGGCUCACAUUGAUUGGUGAUUGGCAAAUGAGUUCUAGGGGAACUCGUGAUGUGUAGCGGAUGAUUGGAUAGGAAUUAUCCUGCACAUUGCAUCAUACUCAUGACAUAUACGUGCGUUAUAGAAAUGGUAAUGAUCGAGACUAGGAUCGGACCCGACAUGUGGGCGUAUCAUGGACUUCAGACUAUUUUCACUUUAAAUAAUUUCCCUUAAGUUGUUAUUCAAUUUUUGAGACUGUAAAGCUUAAUUUUGGAUUGUGGUUUGUGGGUUUUUGGAUUUGGGUUUUAUGCAUGCAUUAUUUAGCACAUUGAAAAUAAAUAUAUGUAAAUCGAAAAUGCAUGUUACUCGACUUAAUUAAAA